GCGGGUGUGGUUCAAUGGUAGAAUGUGACCUUCCCAAGGUUGAGACGAGGGUUCGAUUCCCUUCACCCGCUCCA
rnacentral:tRNA from 1 species